GAUGAACGCUGGCGGCGUGCCUAAUACAUGCAAGUCGAGCGAACAGACGAGGAGCUUGCUCCUCUGACGUUAGCGGCGGACGGGUGAGUAACACGUGGAUAACCUACCUAUAAGACUGGGAUAACUUCGGGAAACCGGAGCUAAUACCGGAUAAUAUAUUGAACCGCAUGGUUCAAUAGUGAAAGACGGUUUUGCUGUCACUUAUAGAUGGAUCCGCGCCGCAUUAGCUAGUUGGUAAGGUAACGGCUUACCAAGGCGACGAUGCGUAGCCGACCUGAGAGGGUGAUCGGCCACACUGGAACUGAGACACGGUCCAGGCUCCUACGGGAGGCAGCAGUAGGGAAUCGUCCGCAAUGGGCGAGAGCCUGACGGAGCAACGCCGCGUGAGUGAUGAAGGUCUUCGGAUCGGAAAACUCUGUUAUUAGGGAAGAACAAAUGUGUAAGUAACUAUGCACGUCGUGACGGUACCUAAUCAGAAAGCCACGGCUAACUACGUG
rnacentral:rRNA from 1 species